rfam:Deltaproteobacteria bacterium RBG_13_43_22 RBG_13_scaffold_4, whole genome shotgun sequence.
GGGUCCGGAGAAAUAUCUCCGGAGGAAUUCCACGAUGGUCGGGCCGCUGUCG